ensembl:lincRNA
AUGCUGCCAACAAACAGGAAGUCUCUGAUACCUGCAUGUGCAGGAUGCACCCCAGGCCUACCUGAGGGUGUCUGUGCCCCCUCCACCUGUUCCUACAUGGAGACCACCGUGAGCUCCGGGGGCAAGAUGUCAUGCAGUGCCUCCCAUGGGAACAGUGAAGGCCCCGUCAUGACUGAGCUGGCCAGGCCCCUCCAGAGGCCCUCGUCCAUGGGGGAGCCAGCCUCCCCGGGCCAGGUGCUCCCAGCCAUCACUACCACGGUGACACUCAGUUCUGUCAGUAAGGGCCAAGAGUCUGCCCUUCCUUCCUUGGGCAACCACGAGGCCCGAGCCAGCCUGAGACUGACCCUGUCUAGUGUGAGUGACAGGCUUCUGCCCCCAUCCCUGCUGGAGCCACCGGCCACAUGUAUCUGGUCCCAGGAGCCUGUGAGCAUCCAGCCUAGUGUCACAGUCACAGCAGCCAGCUUCCUCACCCCUCACUCCGUGGAUGUGAGCGCCCUGGGCCUCCACAAUUCUGCCUUUCUCCCAAAGCUCCCAGCCCCCUCACCCCUCACCCCUUCUACCCGCCCGCACAGUCCCCAGCUUCCAGAAGCCAGGCCUGGAAGUAACACCACCUCCAUCCGGGAGCCCUCCCCUGAUGCAGCCCGUCUGACCCACAGCAGCCCCGGCUACUGGAGGGAGCCCAGGCCACCCACCCCGCUUGAGCUGAGCAGUGUGGGAAGUGUCCUGCACAAGCUGCAGACUGCCUUCCAGGAAGCCCUUGACCUUUACCACACGUUGGUCUCUAGCAGCCGGAUGAGCACAGAGCAGCAGCAGGCACAAACAGAGCUGACUUCUACCUUCCUGUGGAUCUACAGCCAGCUGGAAGCCAAUGGCUUGCUGAUUGGGACUGACAAGCCCCCAUCCCAGACACUCCCUAGCCUGGGUCCCCCAUCUCCACUGACCCUGUGCCCCCUGGCCAGUCCAGACCUGCAUGCCCUGCUAGAACAUUACUCGGAGCUGCUGGUGCAGGCUGUGCACAGGAAGGUGCGGGAGGACUGAAGAAAUAGGUAUUUUAAGCAAAUAAACUGACAGCUUGGAGCAGUUGUUCCUGAUACCCAGCCUGUCCAUCCACAGAGACCUUCAGAUGAAUGCAAGGAGGGAGGGUAGAGGCCAUGCUUGGGGGACUUAGCUCAGGGGAGACUCACAUUCGCUCCAUGCCAGGUUCAGUUCCAGGAUUCUGGGUAUAGAGAACAUGGGGCCAGCAGUAAUGGCCUCCAACAUCACCUCUCCCCAGCCUACUUGUGGUCCUCCCCAAGAGUGCCCAGCUGAAUCCCUGUUGAUGCCCGCAAGCCGAUGGAGUUGUCAUCACCUUGUACCCAUUUGUUGCCACCAGUACCUGCAUUGCUACAAAACUGGCUUAUGUGCAUGGGCCAGGCCCACACCAGAUCCUUCAAGGUUCGGGCUUGUCAUAGAGGGCUGAUUGCAACGGGAAACUAGACAAACAGGCUCAACCCCUAGAAAAUCCCAGCAGCUGGAACCAAUGAUCCCUUCUCCAGCAGCAGGCCUGGAUCAGCUCUCCAAGUCCCUAUAAAAAAGAAGUCUGGAGCUGGGGAUUUAGCUCAGUGGUUCUGCUGCCUGUCUCGCAAGUGCAAGGACCCAAGUUCAAUACCCAGUACCAAGAAAAAAGCCAGGCACAGGAGCAUGUGCCUGUAAUCUCAGCACUUGGGAGACUGAGGCAGGAGGAUCACUGCAAGUUUGAGGCUAUCCUGGACUACAUAAUGAGUUCAAGGCCAGCCUGAACUACAAAGCCAAGACCCUGUCCAAAAAAAAAAAAAAAGGAAAGUCAGACAACCCCCCUCAAAAAAAAAGGAAAGCCAACAGGGCAGGACGCUCUCCUAAAGCACAGUCCUCAUGUGACUUACCUGCCUUUGUGGUGGUCAUCAACCACUAGAAAUGGGCUCAGAAACCCAGUUUCUUUACAUGGUCCCUGAGCUGAGACUCAAGCUUUAGUUUGCCAGUGAUGGAGCUGGAUGCUUCAACACCAAGAUGCAACUCUGCUGUCAUAUAACACAUCAGAACGAGUCAUGCAAUUGUUCAGAAACUCCUGCCAGCUCCCAGGUGCCCAUCACUGUUCUGUACCUUAGGGGAGAGUGAGGAACAGGUCAGGCAAAGCAUCUGCCACCAUGGCACUCACCUUGGAGAAAGCACAGACACAGGUUAGAGCCACAGCUGGGUAACAGGCCAGGGGUUCUCUGUGCUGGUUGAAGGGUCACAGAAGGCCUUCCCUCGGGGACAGUUGAGCUGAGGCUUAGAGGACAUUUUGGGAACACAUCCAGGCAGACGGAACAGCCAAAGCCAAGGCCUUGGGGGUGACCAAACAGUAUGUAUGAAGAACAGCAUCAAACCCAGGAUGGCUGGAAUGGGGUGAGCAAGGGAGAGAACAGGAGAUGAGGUAGGAGGAGAAUGGGCCCUCUAGGCAGGAUCUUAUUACAUCAAGGCAUUUAGGCCAGGAAAUAUUUUUUCCUCAAGUAAAAUCCCUGUUUGUGGUAUUUGGGAUACGACCAAUAUUGUCUGCUUCUCACAGCUUGUUCCUUCUGCCUUGCAGCCCAGAACUUGUAGGUAGGCCUGAUCUCUGCCUAGACGCUCCCUCUACGCCCACCCAAGGUUCCCAGAGCAAGAUUUGGUGUUCACAGACCCAGGAGACCACUUCAUGGAAUUACCUAUCCUUCCACCCUUUAUUAGUAAAGGCUUCCAUUCUAAAAAAGAAAUGCCUGGCUUACAGGAGUUCAAACUGUAGACAUUUGUUCCUUGAUUGUGCCAUCAUGGUCCUGGCUUCUUCCUCUCCCACCCGGAGUCACCUUUGACUUCCAGCUUAGGACCUCACAUUUGCAACAUGGCUGCUGUAGCAUCCAGCAUUACGUCCUCAUUCAACCAGGAGCAAAGGCAUGAAGUACAGAUACCAGGGUAGCAGGAAGGAAGUACAGAUUCUUCCCUAGAGGCCUCCUGUGAUGGCUUAUAUCUAGAUGUUCCCACAAAGCUUCUUGUACCUACUCUAAUAGCUUCUUGUUCCCCCUUUGCGCCUUGUACCAGCCCUUGUGACUUCCCUGGUCCCUGCCUGCUCAGAUGCUCACACGUGGGACUUUUGGGAGGUGACCAGAUCAUAGGUGUGUGAUGCUGGAUUAAUCUACUGAUGGGUUUACAGCUGGGUGUGAUGCUGGGAGGUGAAGGCUGUGGGAGAAGGUGUGUCACUGGGCAAAGUUUGGAUAGAAGGAUAGGUAGAUAGAUAUCCCUCCUCCUGCCUUGAGCAGUUGCUACUUCCUGCCUGCCAUGGGUGAGCUCUUCUCAGCUGUACCACCCUGCCUUGGAGCCAGCCAACUGUGGCCUGACACCUCUGCCAACUGUGAGCUAAAAAUAAACCUCUCCUUUAAAUUGUGGGUGUUGGGUAUUGUGUCUUAGCAACAAGGGAAUUAAUGAAGUCACCCCCCUUAUAGACCCGUCUCAGGCACCAGAAAUAGAGAUUGCAUCCAUUCACUCUACCCUUUCCUGAGCAUGCUGCUGCUGAAACAAAAAUGGGUCCCCAGCAAGAAAGGAGCAUUUAGAGGAUCCAGCAUGUCCACUACUUCCCUCUUCAAGUGCCGCACCUUUUCUUCUUUUCUCUUUUUUUCAAUUUAAUUUUCUUCUUUUCUUUUGAGACAGGGUCUCACUAUAUAGUUCAGGCUGGCCUCGAACUCAUUAUUGUAGCCCAGGCUGGCCUUGAACUUACAGCCAUCUUCCUGCCCCAACCUCCCAAGGGCUGGAAUUACAGGGUUGCCCCAUCACGCCCAGUUCCAAGAACCGUGCUUUCAAGCUCUAGAAAAAUUAGGCUGUCUUCCGACCAACCAGAUGAUCAGGAAAUCACUGCUGAUGGUGGACUGUGUGUGCAUACAGCUUGUGAGUUGCCAGGGUCACAGCAGGAAGACAUGGGUGGCCAGCUUAUGUCAAGUACUCCAAAGAGAGGUUAACAAAGGAGUCCUUUAACCAGCUGGGUGUGGUAGCCAAUGCCUGUACUCCCAGCAUUUGUGAUUCAAGGCCAGCCUGGGCUACAUAAUGAAUUCAAACCCAGCCUGAACUACACAAGACCCUGUCACAAAAAACCAAACCAAAGCAGCAGGCAGGGACCAGGGAAGCCAUAAGGGCUAGUACAGUCCCCCGGACUGCUACCUGAGGGGAGCUCGUACUACACCCAAGCACAAGGUGCAAAGAGGUUGUCAUCAGGACGCGAAGGAUAGCCACACAGCAGGAAUGUAGUUUUGCCAAGGAGUAGGGGGUUGAAACUCUUCACAGGCAAACAGCAGCCAACUCUCACCAACCUCGGUUUUUAUUAGAUACGUGCACAAUACUUCCAUGA